rnacentral:rRNA from 1 species
UACGAAGGGGGCUAGCGUUGCUCGGAAUCACUGGGCGUAAAGGGUGCGUAGGCGGGUCUUUAAGUCGGGGGUGAAAUCCUGGAGCUCAACUCCAGAACUGCCUUCGAUACUGGCGAUCUCGAGUCCGGAAGAGGUGAGUGGAACUCCUAGUGUAGAGGUGGAAUUCGUAGAUAUCAGGAGGAACACCGGUGGCGAAGGCGGGUCUCUGGGCCGUAACUGACGCUGAGGAGCGAAAGCGUGGGGAGCGAACAGG